rnacentral:rRNA from 1 species
GCAAGUCGAGCGGAGCGAAGGUGCUUGCACCUUAGCUUAGCGGCGGACGCGUUUAUAAUGCUUAGGAAUCUGCCUAUUAGUGGGGGACAACCUUUCGAAAGGAACGCUAAUACCGCAUACGUCCUACGGGAGAAAGCAGGGGAUCUUCGGACCUUGUGCUAAUAGAUGAGCCUAAGUCGGAUUAGCUAGUUGGUGGGGUAAAGGGCUACCGGGGCGACGAUCUGUAGCGGGUCUGAGAGGAUGAUCCGCCACACUGGGACUGAGACACGGCCCAGACUCCUACGGGAGGCAGCAGUGGGGAAUAUUGGACAAUGGGCGAAAGCCUGAUCCAGCCAUGCCGCGUGUGUGAAGAAGGCCUUUUGGUUGUAAAGCACUUUAAGCGAGGAGGAGGAGCUUCAGGUUAAUACCCUGGAUGCUUGGACGUUACUCGCAGAAUAAGCACCGGCUAACUCUGUGCCAGCAGCCGCGGUAAUACAGAGGGUGCAAGCGUUAAUCGGAUUUACUGGGCGUAAAGCGUGCGUAGGCGGCUAAUUAAGUCAAAUGUGAAAUCCCCGAGCUUAACUUGGGAAUUGCAUUCGAUACUGGUUAGCUAGAGUAUGGGAGAGGAUGGUAGAAUUCCAGGUGUAGCGGUGAAAUGCGUAGAGAUCUGGAGGAAUACCGAUGGCGAAGGCAGCCAUCUGGCCUAAUACU